AGCAACCGCCUCUUCUUUUGCAUUUCUUCUCUGCCAUUUUCGUUCUCCCCAAACCUCAUUGACACACCAAAAACGACUUCGAUCACGGCCGUUUUGUAUUCGAAACCUUCGUUUAUGUGCGCGUUUUCGCAUUUGCUAUUCCAUUCGCGUCGUUUCGACAAGAACAAUCACCAAUGGCUGCUGAGCGGCGCAGAUUCAGCAUAGGCUACGCGUUGGCGCCGAAGAAGCAGAGCAGCUUCAUUCGCGACUCGCUCCUAAAUCUCGCUAGUUCUCGCGGCGUGGAUCUCGUGAAGAUUGACCCGACCCGGGCGCUGGCGGAGCAGGGCCCGUUCGACUGCGUACUCCACAAGCUGUACGGCGAGGAGUGGAAGCGGGAGUUGGAGCAGUUUCGCCGUGAAAACCCUAAUGCGGCGAUAAUCGACUCGCCGGACGCGAUCGAGCGCCUCCACAACCGAAUCUCGAUGCUACAGGUCGUUUCGGAGCUGAGGACGGAGUCGACAAGCGAGACGUUCGGGAUCCCGAAGCAAAUAGUCAUCUAUGACAAGGAGACGCUCUUCGAUCGGCAGGCCUGGGAGAGCCUCAAGUUCCCGGUGAUCGCGAAGCCUCUGGUCGCCGACGGCAGCGCCAAGUCGCACAAGAUGACCCUGGUGUACAACCACGACGGGCUCAACAAGCUCAAGCCCCCGAUCGUGCUCCAGGAGUUCGUCAACCACGGCGGGGUAAUCUUCAAGGUAUACGUCGUCGGCGAGUACGUCCGGUGUGUGAAACGCAAGUCUUUGCCGGACGUGUCCGAAGAGAGACUGGGGGUCUCCGAAGGGGUACUGUCGUUUUCGCAGGUCUCGAAUAUCGCCACGAACGAAAAGGUCGACGACAAGUACUACAAGAUGAUGCAUUUGGACGACACCGAGAUGCCGCCGCAGAGUUUUCUAGCUGAUAUUGCCGGCGGCUUGCGGCGGGCGUUGAAGCUGAACUUGUUCAACUUCGAUGUGAUUCGGGACGCGAGGUCUGGAAACCGGUACCUUAUAAUUGACAUCAAUUACUUUCCUGGGUAUGCGAAAAUGCCGUGUUACGAGGCCGCUUUGACGGAUUUCUUCUUGGAUGUGGUGACUAAGAGAGAAAAGGAGGAGGUGAAGUUGAAUAAUUGUGAGAAGGAUAUGAUAAAGAUUGUGAGCAAUAGUACUUGUUGCAGUGAUGGGGAUGAGAUUGGUAGGGAAGAGAAGGAGAGUUCGAGAUAGGUCUGACAUCAACGUAAGCAAUUACCCGUGAAUUGGUGGUGAAUUUGCUGAAGGGAGUGAGUAUUGGGUUUAGGUAGGAGACGGUUUUGGUAUAGUGGAGAAAAUGAGUAGGAUUUGAUGAUGGGUUCUAGUUUUUUAGCCUCUUGACAGCAAUUACAUGGUGUUUUGAUGUUGAUGAUGUAUAUUCCCUCCGCCCAGUUUUACUCUGGAGAUAGGCUUUGGAAAUAGAUUCGUCACGCGUGGGUGACGACCUUCCCAGGCAUAUUCCCAAAGCAAGCAUUUCCAAGGGGAGGCUUGCGUCAAGGUGCAGCAAAAGGAUUUUCGAAUCAACUCGUGCCUCUCUGCUUUUUAACUGAUUCCCAUGACUAAGGGCUAAUUAUAAGCGCAGGUCAUGGCGGUCCAAGUGUACAGGCAAUGCGUACCUCUAUAAGCAGUAGAGUCGCCUUAACCAAAAUCCUGCAUGCUUCCUGCUUCACAAAUCGCCAUCCUUUCAGGCAGCCAUUU